GACGAACCGAGCGAACGUUAUUCGGAAUCACUGGGCUUAAAGGGUGCGUAGGCGGGCACGCGAGUCAGGGGUGAAAUCCCACGGCCCAACUGUGGAAGUGCCUCUGAUACCGCGAGCCUCGAGGGGGAUAGGGGCGUGCGGAACUUCCGGUGGAGCGGUGAAAUGCGUAGAUAUCGGAAGGAACACCGGUGGCGAAAGCGGCGCGCUGGAUCCCUACUGACGCUGAGGCACGAAAGCCAGGGGAGCAAACGGG
rnacentral:rRNA from 1 species